AGCGGAUGUAGAGAGAGCUUGCUCCUCGAUUCAGCGGCGGACGGGUGAGUAAUGCCUAGGAAUCUGCCUAGUAGUGGGGGACAACGUUUCGAAAGGAACGCUAAUACCGCAUACGUCCUACGGGAGAAAGUGGGGGAUCUUCGGACCUCACGCUAUUAGAUGAGCCUAGGUCGGAUUAGCUAGUUGGUAGGGUAAAGGCCUACCAAGGCGACGAUCCGUAACUGGUCUGAGAGGAUGAUCAGUCACACUGGAACUGAAACACGGUCCAGACUCCUACGGGAGGCAU
rnacentral:rRNA from 1 species